UAUGCCAAAUGCGAUAGGCUUUACAUGCCAGUGUAUACGUACUAACGAAACUAUGAGCGGCGACCCUAUUACUGAAGCCAUUAUCAAGAAUUUGGUGUACAUAAAAAAAAAUAUAACAAACAUCGAGAAUAUUGUUGACGUGUUGAUUACAAAGGAAAUUAUCGGAUUUCACGAUAGACCCAAUUUUGUUUUUCAUGGAAUACCACACAGUGAAAGAAUCCAGGAGGUGAUCAAUGAAGUGCUAAAGAAAGGGGCAUCCGAUGAAUUUAUUACCGCAUUAAUGGACUCCGGCAAUGCACAUGUUGCUGAACAGAUUCUCAGUUUAGACGAAAAAGGUUUUGCGACCUAUACCCAAGGCACAAGGGUACCAAGUAAUGGGACAAGACCGAAAGACAGACUAAUACAAGCUUAUAGAGAUAUAGCAACACUACAAAGAGAAAAAAAAUGAGAUCUUAAAUGAGAUAAAGUCCUUGCAAACGGAUCAUCAGGAUCAAGUAGCAGAUCUCCAUGAACAGAUACUAGAAUUGCAAAGAAAAAUGAAGGAAAAGGAUAAAACAAUAAAUGCACAAAAUGAGUACCUACGGAAGUUGAAAGAAAUGCAGGAAAAAAAGUCUACAAGACACGAAGAGCAAAUGGACGAUAUAAAGCAGACAUUGGCAAAAGUAGUUAACAUUUGUGAAACAACUAAGGAAAAGGUUAUCGAAACUCAGAAAAAGGUCACAUUACUUGAAGACCAGAUGAAAAAACCACGAGUUCGAGCAAAUAUUACCUCUACGAUGAGAGAAGAACGAAAUAAAGCCAAUAAAACCAAAGAUUAAUAUUUUGAAUAACAUCUUGUGAAAAUAUUUG